CCUACGGGGAGCAGCAGUCGAGAAUCAUUCACAAUGGGGGAAACCCUGAUGGUGCGACGCCGCGUGGGGGAAUGAAGGUCUUCGGAUUGUAAACCCCUGUCAUGUGGGAGCAAAUUAAAAAGAUAGUACCACAAGAGGAAGAGACGGCUAACUCUGUGCCAGCAGCCGCGGUAAUACAGAGGUCUCAAGCGUUGUUCGGAAUCACUGGGCGUAAAGCGUGCGUAGGCUGUUUCGUAAGUCGUGUGUGAAAGGCGCGGGCUCAACCCGCGGACGGCACAUGAUACUGCGAGACUAGAGUAAGGGAGGGGGAACCGGAAUGCUCGGUGUAGCAGUGAAAUGCGUAGAUAGCGAGAGGAACACUCGUGGCGAAGGCGGGUUCCUGGACAUUAACUGACGCUGAGGCACGAAGGCCAGGGGAGCGAAAGGGAUUAGAUACCCCGGUAGUC
rnacentral:rRNA from 1 species